CAGCCGCCGCGGUAAUACGUAGGUGGCAAGCGUUGUCCGGAAUUAUUGGGCGUAAAGGGCUCGCAGGCGGUUUCUUAAGUCUGAUGUGAAAGCCCCCGGCUCAACCGGGGAGGGUCAUUGGAAACUGGGAAACUUGAGUGCAGAAGAGGAGAGUGGAAUUCCACGUAUAGCGGUGAAAUGCGUAGAGAUGUGGAGGAACACCAGUGGCGAAGGCGACUCUCUGGUCUGUAACUGACGCUGAGGAGCGAAAGCGUGGGGAGCGAACGGGAUUAGAUACCCGAGUAGUCCCUGUCUCUUAUAC
rnacentral:rRNA from 1 species